GGAUGUGAGGGCGAUCUGGGCGAUCUGGCUGUGACAUCUGUCACCCCAUUGAUCGCCAGGGUUGAUUCAGCUGAUAUGGCUGGCUAGGUCCCCUUCCUCCCUCACCACUCCAUGAGUGUCCCUCCUGAAGCUGUGUACUCAGUGGAAGAGGAAGACCUUCCCUGAAUAAAAAAUGAUUUCUUUAUUUUAUGUACAUUGGUUUGCCUAUAUGAGGUUUUUGGACCUCUUGGAACUGGAGUUAUAGACAAUUUUGAGCUGCCAUGUGGGUGCUGGGAAUU
ensembl:misc_RNA 7SK 7SK RNA